rnacentral:rRNA from 1 species
GACGAACGCUGGCGGCGUGCUUAACACAUACAAGUCGAACGGAAAGGCCCUGCUUUUGUGGGGUGCUCGAGUGGCGAACGGGUGAGUAACACGUGAGUAACCUGCCCUUGACUUUGGGAUAACUUCAGGAAACUGGGGCUAAUACCGGAUAGGAGCUCCUGCUGCAUGGUGGGGGUUGGAAAGUUUCGGAGGUUGGGGAUGGACUCGCGGCUUAUCAGCUUGUUGGUGGGGUAGUGGCUUACCAAGGCUUUGACGGGUAGCCGGCCUGAGAGGGUGACCGGCCACAUUGGGACUGAGAUACGGCCCAGACUCCUACGGGAGGCAGCAGUGGGGAAUAUUGCACAAUGGGCGGAAGCCUGAUGCAGCAACGCCGCGUGCGGGAUAACGGCCUUCGGGUUGUAAACCGCUUUCGCCUGUGACGAAGCGUGAGUGACGGUAAUGGGUAAAGAAGCACCGGCUAACUACGUG